rnacentral:misc_RNA from 1 species
UGAUCAGACUAAUGGAAAGUCCUUC